rnacentral:rRNA from 1 species
UGACACGUAGGGGGCAAGCGUUGUCCGGAUUUAUUGGGCGUAAAGGGCUCGUAGGCGGUUCGACAAGUCGGGUGUGAAACCUCCAGGCUCAACCUGGAGACGCCGCUCGAAACUGUUGUGACUAGAGUCCGGUAGAGGAGUAUGGAAUUCCUGGUGUAGCGGUGGAAUGCGCAGAUAUCAGGAGGAACACCAGUAGCGAAGGCGAUACUCUGGGCCGGUACUGACGCUGAGGAGCGAAAGCAUGGGGAGCGAACAGGAUUAGAUACCCUGGUAGUCCAUGCCGUAAACGUUGGGCACUAGGUGUGGGACUCUCUCAACGGGUUCCGUGCCGUAGCUAACGCAUUAAGUGCCCCGCCUGGGGAGUACGGCCGCAAGGCUA